AUUGAGCGCUGGCGGCAGGCCUAACACAUGCAAGUCGAACGAGUGGCGGACGGGUGAGUAAUGUCUGGGAAACUGCCCGAUGGAGGGGGAUAACUACUGGAAACGGUAGCUAAUACCGCAUACCAUCGGAUGUGCCCAGAUGGGAUUAGCUAGUAGGUGGGGUACCGGCUCACCUAGGCGACGAUCCCUAGCUGGUCUGAGAGGAUGACCAGCCACACUGGAACUUGGACACGGUCCAGACUCCUACGGGAGGCAGUAGUGGGGAAUAUUGCAAAAUGGGGUAAAGCCUGAUGGAGCCAUGCCGCGUGUAUGAAGAAGGCCUUCGGGUUGUAAAGUACUUUCAGCGAGGAGGCGUUACUCGCAGAAGAAGCAUCGGAUAACUCCGUGCCAGCCGGCGCGGUAAUUC
rnacentral:rRNA from 1 species